rnacentral:tRNA from 1 species
GCGGGUGUGGUUGAAUGGUACAAUGCUUCCUUGCCAAGGAAGAGGUCGAGGGUUCGAUUCCCUUCACCCGCU